GAUGAACGCUGGCGGUAUGCCUAACACAUGCAAGUCGUACGAGAGUUUUUAACUCUAGUGGCGGACGGGUGAGUAACACGUGAGAAUUUGCCUUUAGGAGGGGGAUAACAAUUGGAAACGAAUGCUAAUACCCCAUAUGCUUUUGAGUGAAACGGAUUUAUCCGCCUAGAGAGAAGCUCGCGGCUGAUUAGCUUGUUGGUAAGGUAAGAGCUUACCAAGGCGACGAUCAGUAUCUGGUUUGAGAGGACGAUCAGACACACUGGAACUGAGACACGGUCCAGACUCCUACGGGAGGCAGCAGUGGGGAAUUUUGGACAAUGGGGGGCAACCCUGAUCCAGCAAUGCCGCGUGAGUGAAGAAGGCCUCGGGUUGUAAAGCUCUUUGUCAGGGAAGAAACAGCAGCUCUAACACAGUCUGCGAAUGACGGUACCUGAAGAAUAAGCACCGGCUAACUACGUG
rnacentral:rRNA from 1 species